UACAUGCAGUCGACGCACAGCGAAGGGUGCUUGCACCUUUCAAGUGAGUGGCGAACGGGUGAGUAACACGUGGACAACCUGCCUCAAGGCUGGGGAUAACAUUUGGAAACAGAUGCUAAUACCGAAUAAAACUUAGUGUCGCAUGACAAAAAGUUAAAAGGCGCUUCGGCGUCACCUAGAGAUGGAUCCGCGGUGCAUUAGUUAGUUGGUGGGGUAAAGGCCUACCAAGACAAUGAUGCAUAGCCGAGUUGAGAGACUGAUCGGCCACAUUGGGACUGAGACACGGCCCAAACUCCUACGGGAGGCUGCAGUAGGGAAUCUUCCACAAUGGGCGAAAGCCUGAUGGAGCAACGCCGCGUGUGUGAUGAAGGCUUUCGGGUCGUAAAGCACUGUUGUAUGGGAAGAACAGCUAGAAUAGGAAAUGAUUUUAGUUUGACGGUACCAUACCAGAAAGGGACGGCUAAAUACGUGCCAGCAGCCGCGGUAAUACGUAUGUCCCGAGCGUUAUCCGGAUUUAUUGGGCGUAAAGCGAGCGCAGACGGUUUAUUAAGUCUGAUGUGAAAGCCCGGAGCUCAACUCCGGAAUGGCAUUGGAAACUGGUUAACUUGAGUGCAGUAGAGGUAAGUGGAACUCCAUGUGUAGCGGUGGAAUGCGUAGAUAUAUGGAAGAACACCAGUGGCGAAGGCGGCUUACUGGACUGCAACUGACGUUGAGGCUCGAAAGUGUGGGUAGCAAACAGGAUUAGAUACCCUGGUAGUCCACACCGUAAACGAUGAACACUAGGUGUUAGGAGGUUUCCGCCUCUUAGUGCCGAAGCUAACGCAUUAAGUGUUCCGCCUGGGGAGUACGACCGCAAGGUUGAAACUCAAAGGAAUUGACGGGGACCCGCACAAGCGGUGGAGCAUGUGGUUUAAUUCGAAGCAACGCGAAGAACCUUACCAGGUCUUGACAUCCUUUGAAGCUUUUAGAAGAUAGAAGUGUUCUCUUCGGAGACAAAGUGACAGGUGGU
rnacentral:rRNA from 1 species